UGUUACAACCAUGAGCUCACUUGUUCGCAUAAAAUUCUUACCAUUUUUCUUUCUUUUUCAAAGCUCUUCUUUGCAUUGCUUCUUUUCUAUUCAUAAAUUUUUUUUCUUAUUUUUUUUCAACCACUUUCUUUUUCAAUCUUAUCAACCAACCUAUUUCUCCCCAACUUUGAACGCAACCCAAGAAUGCUCCCCUACUUUUUAAGGCAAGGAAAAACGCAACCAUAAUUUAUGGUUAAAGGUUUAAGUGAUUUUCAACAAAAAAUCAAG
rnacentral:lncRNA from 1 species